rnacentral:misc_RNA from 1 species
UCCUGGUUUCCCAGGCAGUCCCGCCAGAGUGCUUUACCUAAAAAGGCAAUUGCAACUGGCAGCAAGGGUUGCGCUCGUUAAAGGACUUAACCCAACAUCUCACGACACGAGCUGACGACAGCCAUGCAGCACCUGUGCAAAUGUCUAAACCGAAGCUUAGAAGAUCCCAUCUCUGAGACUGUCAAAUGCAUGUCAAGACCAGGUAAGGUUCCUCGCGUAGUGUCGAAUUAAACCACAUGUUCCACCGCUUGUGCGGACCCCCGUCAAUUCCUUUGAGUUUUAGCCUUGCGGCCGUAAUCCCCAGGCGAAUCACUUAACGCGUUAGCUACGACACCGAUCCGAAAAAUCAGACCGACAUCUAGUGAUCAUCGUUUACAGCGUGGACUAC